GUUGCUUUUUUAUUAAAAUAUGUACUGUUUUUACACAAGGCACACAAAACAUUUAGAUGGUUCUUACUAAAAAAAAAAACACAGCUGGUAUAAAACAAUUUUAUAUAAUACUGGAAAGCUUCAAACGCUUGAAGUCUUAUUCUAAAGCAUCUUCACCUUAAACAAAUAUAUUACAGAUAUUUCUACAGGCUUCAACUUUGAUUAGGUUUUAAAAUUAAGCAUUAAUGAGAAACCCCUCUUUAUAACAAUAAAUGUGGGGUUCAUGAUAAAAUCAAUUUGCUAAUAUAUUUGCAAAAAAAUAU
rnacentral:lncRNA from 1 species